rnacentral:rRNA from 1 species
CCGGGCGGACGGGUGCGUAACGCGUAUGCAACCUACCAUCAACAGGGGGAUAACACUGAGAAAUUGGUACUAAUACCCCAUAAUAUCUCAUGCGGCAUCGCAUGGGGUUGAAAACUCCGGUGGUUGAUGAUGGGCAUGCGUUGUAUUAGCUGGUUGGUGAGGUAACGGCUCACCAAGGCGACGAUACAUAGGGGGACUGAGAGGUUAACCCCCCCACAUUGGUACUGAGACACGGACCAAACUCCUACGGAAGGCAGCAG